GACGGAGGGUGCAAGCGUUGUCCGGAAUCACUGGGCGUAAAGGGCGCGUAGGCGGCCUGGUAAGUAGGGGGUGAAAUCCUGCGGCUUAACCGCAGGGCUGCCUUCUAAACUGUCAGGCUUGAGCACGGUAGAGGCAGAUGGAAUUCCCGGUGUAGCGGUGGAAUGCGUAGAGAUCGGGAAGAACAUCAGUGGCGAAGGCGGUCUGCUGGGCCGUUGCUGACGCUGAGGCGCGACAGCGUGGGGAGCGAACAGG
rnacentral:rRNA from 1 species